GGUCUGCCCCAGCCCCGGGCCUCCCUGCCUCUCUCCUGGCCAGAGAAGGGGAGCCGUGGGAAGAAGGACCCAACUCAGCCCCAGCCCCCAUCCAGCCAGAGGCCCUGCCCCUCACCCCCAGGAAGCUUCCAGGGCCUGUGAAGGAAGCUGGCAGGAAGAAGGUUUUCAAGAAGCCCGAGUUCUCAAUCAGACCCCCGGAGAGUCUCCAUCCUACAGGUGACCUGCCCAGCCAGAAGCAAAAUGCUCCUGAGGCCACUCAGAUGGCCCUGAGCCACCUGGGGCUUCAUGCCUGGCUGGGUCCCACCGGGCUGCUCCCCUUUAAGGGCUGAGAUUGGCCCCUGCUGGCUGAGGAUGGCAAGCCCCUGCCUGCCUCCCGCAUCUACCUGGCCGGUCCAGAUGGAGGCAGGAAAUGGAGCCAGGAUUCACCUCCAGGUGUGAUCAACAGCUCAGCUCGGUGAAUAUCUCCUGGGGGCUUACUAUGGGGUAGCCUUCUGCAAGAUGCUGAGGACAUCGCAAUGAAAAGAUGCAGUUCCAUUCUUGAAGAGGCUGGAGAUCUGGUUGGGAAGACAGGAUGGCAGGGACCCCUCCCAGAAUGCACUGCAGCCUCUUCCCUACAAGAUCUUCUUCUUAGAAUCUUGGGACAUUCAUGCUGGGAGGCGCCAAGAGAUUGUCUACUUCAACACCCUCGUUUUAUAGAUGAGGCAACUGAGGCUCAAGAGAAAUAGGGGUUCAUCCACGGUUGUACGCCAGGACCAGAGCUCUUGUCUCUGAAUUCUGCCGAGCAUCACCCAGCCCCAAGCCUGUGUUUUGGUCUUGCCCUGCAUUUCCCCAAGACAACCAGAGGAUCCAGCAGUCUCAUAAGCAAUUCCCAAAACUCAGAAACCUCAGAGUUAAAAAAAAAAAAAAAAAUAGGUUUUACUACGUAAGAUGUUUAAAUGUCUCUACAACCUAAGAAAAAAAAUAAAUGUACAGACUUAGGAAAAAUACUUGUAUAUAGUAGGUAAAGGGUUAAUAGCCUUACUAUACAAAGAGCUUUUACCAAUCAAUAAGAGAAAGACAGCCAGCCAGAAAAAAACAAUGGACAAAAGAUAUGAGCCGGGGAUGCCGGUCUGAGGAGUCAAUGCCAGAGCUUUGAGGAUCCUGAGGGUGGUAAAACUGUUAUUACUUGUUAAAUAAAGGCUUAUUCAUUAUUAAAAGA